GCCUGCCUUGGUCGCUGUAUUGGCCGUACCUUGGCGACUGCGUGCGCUUAAUCCGAUUGCUCUCCGCCUUUCUUGCUCGUAAGUGUGCUGUGUACAGAUAGCGGUCACUUCGGUCGAACAAUGCAUCUGACAGCCAUCCGGAGCGAAAAAAUUUCGACAUGGCGUUGCUGAAACGCGAUCCUCGCUCAAAGUAAACAUCCUGCGCACGUGUGUGGAAACUAAAAUUUGGUGGAAACGCUUGCGCUAACAGUCUUCUUCUCACUACGUGCGGCGAUUGCCCGACCAUUCGAGUGUCUUUUGCUAUUCUGUGCUACGAGUCAACGCAAGCGUCACGACAUUCCAAAGCGGCGUGUCAUCGCCUGAUCGUCGAUUUUGUUCGUGUUGCAAGCGCGACCUAACCGUGCGGAACACCAUGGUGUAGUUAAAUUUCUUCGACAAGGCUUCUUGUGUGCGCGUGUGUGAAUGCGGUUGUAUUCCUGAUAUGAGCAACGUCGAAAGGCAAAGGAACGGUCGAAGAGACCGUC